GCCUGGGUGGCUUGGUUGGUUAAGCGUCCGACUUCAGAUCAGGUCAUGAUCUCCCAGUUUGUGGGUUCGAGCCCCACAUCGGGCU
rnacentral:tRNA from 1 species